AAUUGCAGAAUCCCGUGAAUCAUCGAAUAUUUGAACGCAAGUUGCGCCCGAGGCCUAGGUCGAGGGCACGUCUGGCUGGGUGUGAUGAAAGAUCGUAGGGCGCGCCCUCUUCGCCCCGUGCGAGGGGGCAGCGGAUGUGGUCGUCCGUGUCUCCCGAGGUGCGGUCGGCUGAAAAGUUGCCGUCGAUCGUGUUUUCUGGCUUCUACCCGGACGGAGCGAUGGAUGGUGGUGGUGGUCUGUGCGUUCCCUGCGCUGAGCGCGCACGAGGUACGUUGGCCCCCUCCCCGCCCUUCUCCUUCGGUGCGAUGCGGGACCGAGCGACCGGCGGGGGCGAUGUUCCUCCUUUGCGUCGCGCAUGGGAGGGGUGAUGCUCCCUCUUCGCAGUGACCCCAGUUCAGGCGAGGGUACCCGCCGAGUUUA
rnacentral:rRNA from 1 species